UCGAGAAUUUUUCUCAAUGGGGGAAACCCUGAAGGAGCGACGCCGCGUGGAGGAUGAAGGUCUUCGGAUUGUAAACUCCUGUCAUUGGGGAACAAUGGUUGCGCGUUAACUGCGCGCGACUUGAUAGUACCCGAAGAGGAAGAGACGGCUAACUCUGUGCCAGCAGCCGCGGUAAUACAGAGGUCUCAAGCGUUGUUCGGAUUCAUUGGGCGUAAAGGGUGCGUAGGCGGCGCGGUAAGUCGGAUGUGAAAUCUCGGAGCUUAACUCCGAAACUGCAUUCGAUACUGCCGUGCUUGAGGACUGGAGAGGAGACUGGAAUUUACGGUGUAGCGGUGAAAUGCGUAGAUAUCGUAAGGAAGACCAGUGGCGAAGGCGGGUCUCUGGACAGUUCCUGACGCUGAGGCACGAAGGCCAGGGGAGCAAACG
rnacentral:rRNA from 1 species